rnacentral:sRNA from 1 species
AAGGUUUCCGUAGGUGAACCUGCGGAAGGAUCAUUACCGAGUGAGGGCCCUUUGGGUCCAACCUCCCACCCGUGUUUAUUUUACCUUGUUGCUUCGGCGGGCCCGCCUUUACUGGCCGCCGGGGGGCUCACGCCCCCGGGCCCGCGCCCGCCGAAGACACCCCCGAACUCUGUCUGAAGAUUGAAGUCUGAGUGAAAAUAUAAAUUAUUUAAAACUUUCAACAACGGAUCUCUUGGUUCCGGCAUCGAUGAAGAACGCAGCGAAAUGCGAUACGUAAUGUGAAUUGCAAAUUCAGUGAAUCAUCGAGUCUUUGAACGCACAUUGCGCCCCCUGGUAUUCCGGGGGGCAUGCCUGUCCGAGCGUCAUUGCUGCCCUCAAGCCCGGCUUGUGUGUUGGGCCCCGUCCUCCGAUUCCGGGGGACGGGCCCGAAAGGCAGCGGCGGCACCGCGUCCGGUCCUCGAGCGUAUGGGGCUUUGUCACCCGCUCUGUAGGCCCGGCCGGCGCUUGCCGAUCAACCCAAAUUUUUAUCCAGGUUGACCUCGGAUCAGGUAGGGAUACCCGCUGAACUUAAGCAUAUCAAUAAGCGGAGGAAAAGAAACCAACAGGGAUUGCCCCAGUAACGGCGAGUGAAGCGGCAAGAGCUCAAAUUUGAAAGCUGGCUCCUUCGGGGUCCGCAUUGUAAUUUGCAGAGGAUGCUUCGGGAGCGGUCCCCAUCUAAGUGCACUGGAACGGGACGUCAUAGAGGGUGAGAAUCCCGUAUGGGAUGGGGUGUCCGCGCCCGUGUGAAGCUCCUUCGACGAGUCGAGUUGUUUGGGAAUGCAGCUCUAAAUGGGUGGUAAAUUUCAUCUAAAGCUAAAUAUUGGCCGGAGACCGAUAGCGC